UGCUCCUGUUGCCAUGGUAAUAGUGCUUGUGCGCUGCCGUGGUAACGGCAUGUACAUGUAGCUUCUUGGAAGAUAAUUAGUGUGUGUGCGGCACAGAUGAAAGAAACGUCUUCCUUUAAUCUAUGGUAGUAGCUAGCAACCUAACUGACUUACUACAUAUCUAUGUAUGCUAAAAAAGCCGUUUAAUUGCAACUGCAUGCAGUUCUUAAAGACUCGUUACAUAACCAGCAUGUGUGCACAGGAUGAGCUUAUAUGACAAAGGUGUAUCUACGUUCCUAGGUUGGUUAAAUUGUUAAUUGCCUGAGGCAUAAAAAACAUGCCCAAACUUUAUCCAGUUAGCGGAAAUUAUAGGCGAUAACAAGGUUUUCUACAUUCGGGGCUUGCCAUAAACGGUAAUUGGAAUUCAACAUUACUUCGUAUGACGUUCACAUUGUGCUGUCAGGCUUGCUUAGUUAGUGCACUUCUAUAAUUGUUAAGAGGCGAAAUCAACGUUCGUAAUUUCGUAUGGUAUUUUUUGUGUGUGUUGUGUGUGUUCGCUUAAAUAGAGAAUAGACACAGUUUCUAAGGCCGUAUACAUCUUUAGGAAAAAACAUUUUAAGCGAGUGUCUUAGUAGUUUGUAUUGAUCCAUAGCCACACACCCCUGGAAGAUAUUGUAUAGCGUGUAGAAAAAUAUUCGUUGUUUAGUCAGUUAAAGGUAGUCAAGGUUGCUGAGUAAAAUAUUCGUGCUCAGUGAUCAUUCAACCACGAAAACCACGAAUAUUUUGCCCCCCUCCUGAAGUUACCCGCUAUAUUAUGUCUGGUCACACGGUCCUGCUGUUUAUUGCAUAUCCUGCUGUGUCUAGGGGGUUAAACUGUUGAUAUAUAAACUUUCCGAGCUAAUGCAAUGUCAAUGGCUUGUAUAAUAUUAACACAUACUAUGUUGCAUGUCAGCUUUUUGCUGUAAAGAAGAACCAUGGGCUGUAAUUAUGUCUACUGGAUAUGAGGUUUAGUCAAAUAUUUACUUCUGUUAUCACUAACAAAGAGGUAUGCAACGUGUACUACAAAUGUCAAGUGUUUCUGUUAUGUAAUUCUAAUGUUUUCGACCACAUCAAAGAGAAGCAUCUACUCAAGCGUUGCGUGCCCUAGCCAUCUCUAUUAUCUGUAAUGGCGAGUAUGUAAAUAAAGAGUGCUUCUGGCCCACAAGCGUUUCGUCACAUUGAAAUUCCACCACUUAGUUUUAACAGGAAGUGGCUACAUUUGUAACAUUUUUCAAUGUUUAGACCACGCCUUUCACAGGAAAAAAGUCAUGCUUUUUCAAGCCACGUGUACGCAUAGGGGGCUUUCCAAACACUCUCAGAAGUCACAUGGGAAGGAAGUGCAAUUCAAGGGCUCUCUUUCAGUGCAAAAAACAAACAAAUUGUCCUAACCACAGCCAUGUUAUAGCUCGUACAGCUACACAACUCUCUUAUCAGCCCGCUUACUAACCCCAAAGAACUUGCUGUAUCUCCAGUGCAACAAUUUUUUAGUGAAAAACACAAGAACAGUCGUUCACAGAUCCAUAUUUUAGUCCACGGUAUAUAUCUGGAGCUGGAGGUCUGCCUUCAACUUCGUGGCCAAACUUUGUUGAGGAGAUAUCGUCGCUCGUAUGGGUUUCUUGUCUUCAGUUAAAGAGUGAGUCAAGCAAUGCCUUUCGUCGCUCUUUGCCAGUGUGCCUAAUUUCACUAGCGACGUGACAUGGUUACCACCACUCAGCAUCAACCGGUGAGAAGCUGUUUGUUUCUACGGCGAAUUGUGGAGGUAUUCCACUCGGAACACGAGGUGUGCUGAUGGGUACUGAACGAUUGGCUGUCAGGAUAGUUCUUACUUACAUGUCCUCCUGUUUUCACUUGUAGGGUUGGAGACACACUGCUCUGGACAGGCUAAUAAUUUUCUACAAAGCUGUGAGAAAACAGACAAAAACUUUCAGAGAAUCGCAGUUUUGUAGCUUCCUCUCUAGAGGUGUUAGCGGAGACUGUGACUUGUGUAUAGGAUGUCGUUACAGCAGUACACUCACUAAGGACAUGAGGAUCGAGGAUCUUUCAUGAACCCUAUUCCUGUGCACAACUUGCAAGUGACCUUGAUGUUUCCGAGAGGCGUUAAAUGAUGUCAGGGGGACGUACGUACGUGUUGCAGUUGUCGGCUAGGUGGUCCCGAUAGCAGCAUGGACACGACAACAACUUGGACUGCCUCAACUACUCACAGCAGUAUGCUGCACAGAAGUACGACAAACUGUCAACUCAAUAGGUUGCUGAAGCACUGUCACUAAAAUUAAUUAUCAUCGAUUCUUAUUGGCUAUGGUCUUUAUAGCUGUUGAUACGAUAUUGUUGGUGUCGAACUGAUCAAACAGCCCCCUAUAUAGCUUAUAAAUAAGUUGCUCAUUCAUUCCUAUGUGUGUAACAAGCAAUUCAAUUCAACCUACUUGUUGUAUAUACUUACAAGCAUUAAUUUUUAUUGUGUGAUUUUGUGUUGAUAAUGCCACAACUUUGAAUGUGAAUAUCUUUUUGUAAAAAAGUUAGCCAUCUACCUGUCUUUGUUAUUGAAGUAGCUCUAUGCUUUUUA